rnacentral:rRNA from 1 species
CCUACGGGAGGCAGCAGUAGGGAAUUUUGCACAAUGGGCGAAAGCCUGACGCAGCAACGCCGCGUGAACGAGACGCCCUUUGGGGUUUAAAGGUCUGUCAGAGGGGACGAAAAAUGACGGUACCCACAGAGGAAGCACCGGCUAACUCCGUGCCAGCAGCCGCGGUAAUACGGAGGGUGCAAGCGUUGUCCGGAAUCAUUGGGCGUAAAGAGGUCGUAGGCGGCAUGUAAAGUCAGGUGUGAAAGGCGCAGGCUCAACCUGUGUAUGGCACUUGAUACUUGCAAGCUGGAGUGCGGUAGAGGUAAAGGGAAUGCCUGGUGUAGCGGUGAAAUGCUUAGAUAUCAGGAGGAACAUCGGUGGCGAAGGCGCUUUACUGGGCCGUAAUUGACGCUGAGGAACGAAAGCGAGGGUAGCAAAUGGGAUUAGAUACCCUUGUAGUC